CAGAGGGUGCAAGCGUUAAUCGGAAUUACUGGGCGUAAAGCGCGCGUAGGUGGUUUGUUAAGUUGGAUGUGAAAGCCCCGGGCCCAACCUGGGAACUGCAUCCAAAACUGGCAAGCUAGAGUACGGUAGAGGGUGGUGGAAUUUCCUGUGUAGCGGUGAAAUGCGUAGAUAUAGGAAGGAACACCAGUGGCGAAGGCGACCACCUGGACUGAUACUGACACUGAGGUGCGAAAGCGUGGGGAGCAAACAGGAUU
rnacentral:rRNA from 1 species